rnacentral:rRNA from 1 species
AGAGUUUUUUCCUGGCUCAGGACGAAACGGUGGGGGGCCUGUUCUUAAAGCAUGCAAGUCGGGGCGGGGAUCCAUGCGCUUGCGCCAUGUAGAGAGCCGGCGGACUGGCGAGUUAACACGGUGGGCGACGCGCCCUCCGGGACGGGAAAUAGCCUGUAGAAAUACAGGGUAAUGCCGGAUGCGAACGCGCGCCGCUGGGAGGCGCGCGUGGAAAGCCCCCACGGGGGCGCCGGAGGAGCGGCCCGCGGCCCAUCAGCUUGUAGGCGGUGCAAGGGACCACCUAGGCUACGACGGGUACCCGGCCUCAGAGGGCGGACGGGCGCAUUGGGACUGAGAUACGGCCCAGACUCCUACGGGAGGCAGCAGCUAAGAAUAUUCCGCAAUGGGGGGAACCCUGACGGAGCGACGCCGCGUGGGCGAGGAAGGCCGGAAGGUUGUAAAGCCCUUUUGCGCGCGAGGAAUAAGGGGAGGAGGGAAUGCCUUCCCGGUGACUGUAGCGCGCGAAUAAGCGCCGGCUAAUUACGUGCCAGCAGCCGCGGUAACACGUAAGGCGCGAGCGUUGUUCGGAAUCAUUGGGCGUAAAGGGCGUGUAGGCGGCCCUGCAAGCCUGGCGUGAAAUCCCGGGGCUCAACCCCGGAACCGCGCUGGGAACUGCUGGGCUGGAGCCGCUGUGGCGCAGCCGGAAUUCCAGGUGUAGGGGUGAAAUCUGUAGAUAUCUGGAAGAACACCGAUGGCGAAGGCAGGCUGCGAGCGGACGGCUGACGCUGAGGCGCGAAGGCGCGGGGAGCGAACAGGAUUAGAUACCCUGGUAGUCCGCGCAGUAAAC